UGCGAAGCCCGCCUGCGCGGGCGA
rfam:Roseiflexus sp. RS-1, complete genome.